UGAUGGUGAGUGGGUUACCGUCGCUCAU
rnacentral:sRNA from 1 species